rnacentral:lncRNA from 10 species
GUGCCUUCCCGCAUGACGGCAGCGUGAUGACAUCGGUCCUAAUAAUCUUAUCCAGACCCGAGUGGCACAUGUACAUGAAAUAGAAAAUACCUUCUGAAUGCAAUUAACUGCUCAUGAACUACCAUGAAAUUUGGGACAUAGCUACCUUGUUGGCUAAAAUGAGAAAAGAAUGAUUAUUUGUUCUCAGAUGAGAAACGUCAACAUCUGAAACUCUCCAGUGUUUUGCUCGGUAUCUCUUCUUCCUCGAUAAUAUCAACAAGGCCAAAGGAUGGAAGAAUGGACAAAUAGGCAAACAGACACAGAUAGACACACACACAAUUUCUUAAUUAGUUUUUAUUUAUUUUUUAAAUUUUAUUGCAUGUCC